GAUGAACGCUAGCGGCAGGCCUAAUACAUGCAAGUCGAGGGGCAGCACGGUAGCAAUACUGGUGGCGACCGGCAAACGGGUGCGGAACACGUACGCAACCUUCCUUUAAGAGAUGAAUAGCCCGAAGAAAUUCGGAUUAAUGCAUCGUAAGAUUGUGGGAUGGCAUCAUCCAGCAAUUAAAGAUUUAUUUCGCUUAAAGAUGGGCGUGCGCCUGAUUAGGAGUUGGUGAGGUAACGGCUCACCAAGCCGACGAUCAGUAACUGGCGUGAGAGCGCGACCAGUCACACGGGCACUGAGACACGGGCCCACUCCUACGGGAGCAGCAGUAAGGAUAUUGGUCAAUGGACGCAAGUCUGAACCAGCCAUGCCGCGUGAAGGAUGAAAGCCCU
rnacentral:rRNA from 1 species